GUUUGAUCCUGGCUCAGGACGAACGCUGGUGGCGGGCCUAACACAUGCAAGUCGAACGAGGCUUUCCGGUGCUUGCACUGGAAAAUCGAGUGGCGAACGGGUGAGUAAUACAUGAGAAACCUGCCUUGGAGACGGGGACAACCUCGGGAAACUGAGGCUAAUACCCGAUAUCCCUGCCGAGUCGCAUGACUUGGCAAGAAAAUACUCAGGUGCUCCAAGAGGGUCUCAUGCCCUAUCAGCUUGUUGGUGAGGUAAAAGCUCACCAAGGCUUAGACGGGUAGCUGGUCUGAGAGGACGAUCAGCCACACUGGGACUGAGACACGGCCCAGACUCCUACGGGAGGCAGCAGUGGGGAAUCUUGCGCAAUGGGCGAAAGCCUGACGCAGCCACGCCACGUGUGGGACGACGGCCCUCGGGUUGUAAACCACUUUCAGCAGGGACGAAAAUGACGGUACCUGCAGAAGAAGCCCCGGCCAACUACGUGCCAGCAGCCGCGGUAACACGUAGGGGGCGAGCGUUGUCCGGAAUUACUGGGCGUAAAGGGCUCGUAGGCGGUUUGGUAAGUCAGAUGUGAAAACUCCAGGCUCAACUUGGAGACGCCAUCUGAUACUGCCAUGACUAGAGUUUGGUAGAGGAGUGCAGAAUUCCCGGUGUAGCGGUGAAAUGCGCAGAUAUCGGGAGGAAUACCAGUCAGCGAAGGCGGCACUCUNGGCCACAACUGACGCUGAGGAGCGAAAGCGUGGGGAGCGAACAGGAUUAGAUACCCUGGUAGU
rnacentral:rRNA from 1 species